AGCUUUACUGAAUUGAUGUAGAGAUUUCGUCAGACACCAACCCAUUAGGGCUGAUCAGACUUCCAAGGUAAGUGAAGCU
rfam:Schistosoma curassoni strain Dakar, Senegal genome assembly, scaffold: SCTD_scaffold0004538